rnacentral:lncRNA from 1 species
UCUAGCUUUUUAUUUGUAACAUAUAAACCAAAGCGACCAAAACCGAGAGAAACGGGUAAAAUCCCUUCUUAAUCCCCAAAGUGAGAGCCCCACCCCCAGGCAUGUGGGCAGGUGGGUCCUAAGGGUCACCCUAUGAUGGUGAAUACUACCUGAAGGCCCCCAAAAACACGGAGGUGACAAACAGGGGAGUGCAGCCAGGUUGGCUGCCUGUCCUCAACGCAGAGCCAGUUUUGGGUGAAGAUACGGUGGGUUUGGUUGUAGGGGCUCAGUGGCAGCAGGUGCCGCAGUGCCCAGCAGCAGGGAGUUGGUGUCCGUCACCGAAUUUCGUCCUCCGGCUCAGGACCUCAUAGGAGCAGUCGUCCCCACAGCAGCCCGAGACGCUGGGCGAGGAAUCAUCGAUAUCAAACCUCUCAUGGCUGCCGGCCCCGUGCCCGCCUGCCCCGGCCCACGCCCUCACGUCGCCAGCGCGUGCAGCGCUUCUCGGAAGAACUGAUAGGCGCCGUGGUUGUGCUUGAAGACCGUCAGCAUCACUUUCUUCAUCUGCGUGCUGUUGGCCACCAGCUGUAGGAUCUGCAGGAGGAACUUGCCCAGCCCUCUGCGCCGCACUUGGCUUUCCAGCUGCACCUCAUAGCAGUACAGAACCUCAUCCCCACACUCAACGUCGAAGCGGAAAUGGGAGAAGGCAACGGGGCGGGCGCUGGGCUCGCGUGCGAUCAGGAACCAGGCGCGCUCAUCCGUCAGCUCAUCGCGUUUCUCCCGGUCCUUCCAGCCCCAUUCGCUCUGCUCAUACAGCGUCUGCAUGUUGGUUUUGGUCAGCUCGAAGGCCCAAUCAACCGUGGCUCGCUCCAGGCUGGCGACGCGUUUGCAUUCGAUGGAGACGUUGAGGCCAUUGCGGUCGUAUUUCUUGAACACCGGAAAGGCUUCGAGGGGAUCUUCGAGUUUGUUGGCAGCCUCCACCUUGGCACACACAGCAGCCAUGGCUGCGCGCUCCUCCAGGCGCUUCUGCUUCUUCUCCUUCGCUUUGCUCGACUUCCUCCCCAUAGCUGCAGCUCCUCACGGCGCGGGGGCGCGCGGCCCACUGCCAGAGCGCCGCCGGGAGCGCGCCCUAUAUAUAGGGGGGAGGGAGCGACCGAGCGGCCAACCGGGCACACUGCGCCUGCGCAAAGCCUCGCUCCGCCCAUCCGCGCAGGCGCACUGAGGCGGGGGUGACGUCAUCGCCGCGCACAUGCGCCGUGCGGGCGGGGGCGGGGCUAACGGCCGUGCGCGUGGCGGCGGCAUCGGGCGCGAAGGCGGGCGGGCGCUGAUUGGCUGAGAGCGCCGAGGGCGGGAAGGCGGCGCGGCCACGCCCUUCGCUGUGGAGAGCCGCGCCCGGGUCCGCCCCACAGCCCGCGGCUGCCCCAUAGCUGCCCCAUAGCUGCCCCAUAGCUGCCCCAUAGCUGCCCCAUAGC